rnacentral:rRNA from 1 species
CCUACGGGGGGCUGCAGUGGGGAAUAUUGGACAAUGGGCGAAAGCCUGAUCCAGCCAUGCCGCGUGUGUGAAGAAGGCCGUCGGGUUGUAAAGCACUUUCAGUGGGGAAGAAAGCCUUGGGGCUAAUACCCUCGAGGAAGGACAUCACCCACAGAAGAAGCACCGGCUAACUCCGUGCCAGCAGCCGCGGUAAUACGGAGGGUGCGAGCGUUAAUCGGAAUUACUGGGCGUAAAGCGCGCGUAGGCGGUCUGAUAAGCCGGUUGUGAAAGCCCCGGGCUCAACCUGGGAACGGCAUCCGGAACGGUCAGGCUAGAGUGCAGGAGAGGAAGGUAGAAUUCCCGGUGUAGCGGUGAAAUGCGUAGAGAUCGGGAGGAAUACCAGUGGCGAAGGCGGCCUUCUGGACUGACACUGACGCUGAGGUGCGAAAGCGUGGGUAGCAAACAGGAUUAGAUACCCCAGUAGUC